UGCAUUGCGCGGUACUUCGAAAUCGUGGAAAUAUAUAUAUAAAUCUUAAAAUCUUUUACUUUUUAACACACUCUUACUUCUUAAUUUCAUAAUUUAAUUUUCUCUAAUAACAAAUUGCCUAAAAUCCAACAGUAGAAUCAUACACUGAUGUUCGUAGUUUUAGGUUAACAUGGAUUAAACAAAAUCUACACAUAAUGCAUUUGAAAAGUAGCAAAAAUAAAUUAUGAAGGCAAGGCAGAGUGAAAAGUUCACGUUGUUUUUUUUUUGUGUUUUUUUUUAUGAAAGAGUGAUAUUUUUGAUUAAUAUCAACAUUGGAUCACUAGUGUGGGGUAGCAUGUUCCUCUUGAAGGAUGAGACAGUCUGGUAAAUAAAUGCACGUGUGUUGAUUGGACAUCAGCGGGAACAUCCUCUUAAAUGACAAGAACUUAAACCAAUGAGAAACACGGAUCGCCGCCAGCGCUGUUUGUUAUGUUUUGAGGUAAAUUGUACUAUAAGAGAACAACCUUUAAUACUAAUAAACGUUAAAAUACACGAAUGAAAUAUCGUUUUCUAUAUCCUAAUUUUUAGAUAAAUGUAUAUAUUUUUUAAUCUAAACAGCAGUUGUGCGUUUGAGUUGACAUGCACAUUAGUCCCGCCCAAGUGAGCCAACGAGCCAAUAAGAAACACCGUUAGGCUGACGUCUGCGCAUGCUAGAAGAAGUAGGCAGGAAGUUCAUCACGCAGUGAACGCAUCUGUCUGGGCUCACGCGACACUGGUAUUAGAACUUAAAACCAGCAUAAAAACAAUGAUCGCGUUGAAGUGCUAUCUCUCUCUUCCAGUGGUGGCAGGGGCAUUAUUAGUGGGCCUCCCUUACAGUGUCUCUCUUGUUGCCCAGUGGCUUUAUGGCUGGCCCAAUAAACCAGGGUACCAAAAAUAUAUAGAGGCUCUCAAACCAAGGCGCAUAUACUGCCUUACAAGAGCCGUGCUAGAGAUGCUGAAAUAUCUGCAGUAUGGCAAACUGUACUUUCAGUGGAAACUGUGGUACAGUAAUGACAAAAAUAACAAGCACUAUGUGAAAGGCAUAACCUUUGGUCGGCGAGGGAACAAACUAGAUUUAUACUAUUCACCAAACAUGGGCCAUUCUGAUGCUGCUCCUGUACCAGUGGUUGUAUUUGUGUACGGAGGUGCCUGGGGGUCAGGAGACCGCUCCAUUUACUGUCUGUUAGCAUUACAAAUGGCAAAAGAGCUUAAUGCCUCUGUAAUUUGUCCAGAUUAUUCCAUAUAUCCAAAGGGAAAUGUUUUAAAUAUGGUUCAAGACAUUACUGACAGUUUGCUGUGGGUGAGAGAAAAGGGACAAACAUUCAAUCUUGAUCAAGACAACGUAAUAUUAAUAGGUCAUUCAGCAGGGGCUCAUCUGUGUGCCCUUACCACGCUGUUUCUGGUGAACAAUGCAGAAGAACUGUUCCUUAAGACCAACGAACAGAGAGAUCUCGUAUCUGCCAUUAAAGGAAUCAUCGGUCUGAGUGGCGUUUACAGUAUAAUGGAUCAUUAUAAGCAUGAGAAAAUGAGGGCUGUUGAAUAUGUGUCAACUAUGCACAAAGCUAUGGAUGGUGUGGAGAACUUUGAUUAUUAUUCGCCGUCAUCGUUACUCAAGAAACUGAAUGAGGAUCAGUUGAAAAGUUUGCUAUUGUAG
ensembl:lncRNA